UUCCACCUUAAUAAAUACUUUAUGCAAGGAAGGGAGGCUUGAUGAAGCUAAAAAGAAGUUUAUUGAAAUGAUGAAAAAAAAGUUAUACCCUGAUUCAUUACUUUAUAAUAUAUUCGUUCAUAGUU
rnacentral:miRNA from 1 species